rnacentral:rRNA from 1 species
CCAAUAGCGUAUAUUAAAGUUGUUGCAGUUAAAAAGCUCGUAGUUGAAUUUCGGGAUCAAUAUGUUGGUCGUGCCUUGGUACGUACUGGCAUUAUCGAUUCCUACCUUCUGAAGAACCUCGAUGUCAUUAAUUUGGUGUCUUGGGGAAUCAGGACUGUUACUUUGAAAAAAUUAGAGUGUUUAAAGCAGGCUCGCGCUUGAAUACAUUAGCAUGGAAUAAUGAAAUAGGACGUUUGAUUCUAUUUUGUUGGUUUCUAGGAUUGACGUAAUGAUUAAUAGGGAGAGUUGGGGGCAUUAGUAUUCAAUUGUCAGAGGUGAAAUUCUUGGAUUUAUUGAAGACUAACUACUGCGAAAGCAUUUGCCAAGGAUGUUUUCAUUAAUCAAGAACGAAAGUUAGGGGAUCGAAGACGAUCAGAUACCGUCGUAGUCUCAACCAUAAACGAUGCCGACCAGGGAUCGGCGGAUGUUGCUUAUAGGACUCCGCCGGCACCUUAUG